UGGUCCCAACCUUGAAGUCAGUUUUUACUUAAUUUAUACAUGCAAGUCUCCGCACCCCUGUGAGAACGCCCUUAAUUUCCUAAUCGGGACAAGGAGCCGGUAUCAGGCGCAACUUUUAGCCCAAAACACCUAGUUCAACCACGCCCACAAGGGUUUUCAGCAGUAAUUAACAUUGAGCAUAAGCGACAGCUUGACUCAGUUAAGGUAAGCAGGGCCGGCAAAUCUGGUGCCAGCCGCCGCGGUUACACCACGGGGCCCAAAUUGACUUCUUUCGGCGUAAAGCGUGAUUAAAGUGAUAAUUAAACUAUAGUUUUACCAAGACUAGGCUGUGACACGCUUAUCAUUGAGAAACCCAUAAACGAAAGUUAUUAUAUUUAGCAUACUUGAGUACACGACAGCUGGGAAACAAACUGGGAUUAGAUACCCCACUAUGCCCAGCCGUAAACUUUUAUUUACAAUUUUAUCGCCCGGGAACUACGAGCCAAGCUUAAAACCCAAGGGACUUGACGGUACCCCAUAUCCCCCUAGAGGAGCCUGUCCUAUAAUCGAUAACCCCCGCUUGACCUCACCAUCUUUAGCAUGCCAGCCUGUAUACCUCCGUCGCCAGCUUACCCCGUGAGUGACCCUCAGUGAGCUCAAUGUCCCAACGUCAAUACGUCAGGUCAAGGUGCAGUAAAUAAGAUGGGAAGAGAUGGGCUACACUCUCUAAUUUAGAGAACACGAAAGAUCUCAUGAAAUUUGAUCAGAAGGCGGAUUUAGAAGUAAAAAGAGACCAUAGAGCUCCUUUUAACCCGGCACUGGGGUGUGUACACACCGCCCGUCACCCUCCUCAAAGCCUAAACAUAGUAGCUAACACAGAUGAGCUAAAUAGAGGAGGCAAGUCGUAACAUGGUAAGUAUACCGGAAGGUGUGCUUGGAAA
rnacentral:ncRNA from 1 species